GCUUGCUCUGUCUGAUCAGUGGCGAACGGGUGAGUAACACGUGAGUAACCUGCCCCCGACUCUGGAAUAACCGUGGGAAACGACGGCUAAUACCGGAUAUGAGACGCACGGGCAUCUGUGUGUCUGGAAAGAUUUAUCGGUCAGGGAUGGACUCGCGGCCUAUCAGCUUGUUGGUGGGGUAAUGGCCUACCAAGGCGACGACGGGUAGCCGGCCUGAGAGGGCGACCGGCCACACUGGGACUGAGAUACGGCCCAGACUCCUACGGGAGGCAGCAGUGGGGAAUAUUGCACAAUGGGCGCAAGCCUGAUGCAGCGACGCCGCGUGAGGGAUGAAGGCCUUCGGGUUGUAAACCUCUUUCAGCAGGGAAGAAGCGAAAGUGACGGUACCUGCAGAAGAAGCGCCGGCUAACUACGUGCCAGCAGCCGCGGUAAUACGUAGGGCGCAAGCGUUGUCCGGAAUUAUUGGGCGUAAAGAGCUCGUAGGCGGUUUGUCGCGUCUGCUGUGAAAACCUGAGGCUCAACCUCGGGCUUGCAGUGGGUACGGGCAGACUAGAGUGCGGUAGGGGUGACUGGAAUUCCUGGUGUAGCGGUGGAAUGCGCAGAUAUCAGGAGGAACACCGAUGGCGAAGGCAGGUCACUGGGCCGCAACUGACGCUGAGGAGCGAAAGCAUGGGGAGCGAACAGGAUUAGAUACCCUGGUAGUCCAUGCCGUAAACGUUGGGCACUAGGUGUGGGGCUCAUUCCACGAGUUCCGUGCCGCAGCAAACGCAUUAAGUGCCCCGCCUGGGGAGUACGGCCGCAAGGCUAAAACUCAAAGAAAUUGACGGGGGCCCGCACAAGCGGCGGAGCAUGCGGAUUAAUUCGAUGCAACGCGAAGAACCUUACCAAGGCUUGACAUACACCGGGAAAAGUGCAGAGAUGUGCUCCCCGCAAGGUCGGUGUACAGGUGGUGCAUGGUUGUCGUCAGCUCGUGUCGUGAGAUGUUGGGUUAAGUCCCGCAACG
rnacentral:rRNA from 1 species